CGCUCUCUCUUAUCUCUUCCAUCUUCCAUCGCUUUCUCUUUUCCAAUUUGGAACCGAUGAAAGAGAUAUGAGAAUCGAUUCAAUCUUUGACUAAUCGCCGAAGCUAUGUACUGGCGGUUAGAUCGAUACCAUUGUUCAUCGGAGAUUUGAAUACAUAGAUCCGGUCAGGUGGUAAGAUUCAUGUUCUCACAAGAAAGGCAAAGGACCAGUAUUCUUGGAAAGGAUUUGGGGCAAUGUCUAAUGCUAUACAGGAGCUUAAGGAAGAGGGUCUGAAAGAGAACUUCAAUACCUUCCAUCAAUUUUACGGCAAUGAUGAUCCAAAAGAGUCGGUUUUGUUGUGGCAAAGGUGAUGCAAGGAGCCUCUUUAUUCACUGCUUGUUCUAGUAGGAGCUUAGCGGUCGGUGCGGCAUUUGGCUGCAGUUGCAAUGGCGAGGGUUAUAUCCAAGGGAGAUAUCAUCUUAAUAUACUCAAGAGCCAGCAACCUCCUAGGGUUUCUUUCUGAUGGGAAGAAGAGUGACUCACAAAAAGUAGCUGGGGCUGCAUAAUGCUUAGGAGGAUUAUAUCGAUAUUUUGGGAGGCGAAUCACUUCAAGUUUACUUAAAACGACUAUGAUUGCCACAAAACUCAUCAAGUUUCAUGAGGUACUUCCACCACAUCUGUAACUCUUUUGUAUUAUAGGUUGGUAUUGUCUUUUUAUUAUUUUCUUCGUUCCACAAGGAGUAGAACUUUCAAUAAGAAAAAAAUGGGUGAACAAAGUGUAUUUGUCAUAUACUGCAUCAGUUGAAGAAUACUGCAUUGGAAUUGUGAUAUGCCACACUGAUUUUUAUUAUUAUGUUUAUUAUUUAUUUAUUUUACAACUAGUGAAGGACCUAAGAUCUUCGGCUAAAUGGUUGGAGAUCCUAGUUAAGAUAUGCUUCUUAUACAAAAUGGUCGCUAAACCAUACUUGAUUCAAGUAUAGUUAGCUUCUGGCGGUCUUUUCUAUUUUUUGUUUGUAGAUGAGGCUUUAUAUAUGCGUCAAAAUGCUUUGGAAGGGUCUGGUAGUAGUGGUGCUGCUUCAGCAUAUACCGAGGCAUUUCGUAUCUUCAUGUGGUUUGCUGUUGGUGGUAAAUCAUUUCUUGUCAUCAUCGCUGCUGCAAGAUGUUUGAAGGCAUUUGAUAUUAUUGGAAGACUGGGUUUAGGGAUGGAAGAACUUGACAAUUCAGCUUCUUUCUGUGUCAAGGUAGAUGUGUUUCUUUGCUAGUUUUCCAUGUUGGAUUUCUAGUAGUGUAUAGCUUCUUAUGGAUGUAUUUUUAAGUUGUAUAUUUAUUGUAUAAUACAUUUUAAAUACAAUACAAGAUUGUAUAUGCACCAAUUAUUUGGUGCCUUUUUUUUAA